GGGGAUGUACUCGGUCUCGACGGGAUGGCAGAAUCCAAGAGCUGCAUGCCGUGCUACGCCGGUGAGCACGUAAAUCCAACCGGCGGACGAAAAGUGCCGACGCGGUCUCGUACCGCAUGGCUGCCUAAUCCGAGGGAUUAGGCGCCAUCGUCUACACGAAGUGUGCCCAUCCGCUUCGCUGUAGGCGUGGUCACUGAUGGGCGGUGCCAUCGCUGCUAUCGCCGGGCGGCGAGGGCACCCAGACAAGCGGCGAUAGCGCUGGCGAUCCCGCCACUCGGAUCUCGCCAGUGCGAAAUCCCAAAGAGUGGCUGAGCAUGGAGAUGCUCUUGGGUUCACAUCCUGGACGUGGGUUCGACUCCCACCAUCUCCACGA
rnacentral:tmRNA from 1 species